GAACGGUCUGGAAAGGCCGGCCACAGCGGGUGACAGCCCCGUAUUCGAAGCGAGACGAAGCAUAGUGUAAUCCUGAGUAGCGCGGGACACGAGGAAUCCUGCGUGAAUCUGCCGGGACCAUCCGGCAAGGCUAAAUACUCCCGAGAGACCGAUAGUGAACCAGUACUGUGAAGGAAAGGUGAAAAGCACUUCGAACAGAAGAGUGAAAUAGUACCUGAA
rnacentral:rRNA from 1 species